UACGCAGGGGGCUAGCGUUGUUCGGAAUUACUGGGCGUAAAGCGCACGUAGGCGGACUGAUGAGUCAGGGGUGAAAUCCCGGGGCUCAACCCCGGAACUGCCUUUGAUACUGUCAGUCUCGAGUUCGAGAGAGGUGAGUGGAAUUCCGAGGGUAGAGGUGAAAUUCGUAGAUAGUCGGAGGAGCACCAGUGGCGAAGGCGGCUCACUGGCUCGAUACUGACGCUGAGGUGCGAAAGCGUGGGGAGCAAACAGG
rnacentral:rRNA from 1 species